UGCCCGAUGAUGAGACCCAUCCUUGCGCUCGGAGUAUUUGCAGCAAUGCAUGCUGGGAAUGUGAAGGUCACCUGGGGUCUCCUGGGCACCACCAUGUAGGUGAGGGCCUGGGAGCUGAGGGCA
rnacentral:snoRNA from 1 species